GAACCUUACCUGGGUUUGACAUAUACCGGAAAGCUGCAGAGAUGUGGCCCCCCUUCGUGGUCGGUAUACAGGUGGUGCAUGGCUGUCGUCAGCUCGUGUCGUGAGAUGUUGGGUUAAGUCCCGCAACGAGCGCAACCCUAUCUUAUGUUGCCAGCACGUUAUGGUGGGGACUCGUAAGAGACUGCCGGGGUCAACUCGGAGGAAGGUGGGGACGACGUCAAGUCAUCAUGCCCCUUAUGUCCAGGGCUUCACACAUGCUACAAUGGCCAGUACAGAGGGCUGCGAGACCGUGAGGUGGAGCGAAUCCCUUAAAGCUGGUCUCAGUUCGGAUCGGGGUCUGCAACUCGACCCCGUGAAGUCGGAGUCGCUAGUAAUCGCAGAUCAGCAACGCUGCGGUGAAUACGUUCCCGGGCCUU
rnacentral:rRNA from 1 species